GAGAUGGCUUUCACAGGUGGCUGUGAC
rnacentral:piRNA from 1 species